UAAUAACCAUUUUAGUAUACUAGAGAAGCCAUAGUGUUCAUAGAUAAUUAUUAAGAACCAAGUAUCUGAACGUUUGUGAUAAUUGAAAAUUCAUACAACGGACCACACACUAACUACAUUUGUGAUAUUAAAAAUUCAUAUAGAACGAACCACACACUAACUACAUUUGUUAUAUUGAAAAUUCAUAUAGAACGAACCACACUAACUUUGUAGUUGAGGCAAAUAAUAUUUACAACUAGUUGUCUUGCCCUCCGGACUCACCUGUGACACAGCAAUCAGUAGAGGGGUCUCAGAAACAACAACCCAUUACAAAUAUCAAGAAUAUAAGUUUUUUUUAACAUAUAAACUCACAUACAUGUAGAAGUGAUCUCAUGUCCAUUUGACGCUAAGACCCAAUUUUUGAGUUGGGAAAACUAGACACGUGUGCUGUGUAUAUCUCUUGUUAGAAUAUAAAUCUGAAAUAAAAUGCUGACAUAAAACUACUACUAAUAAUAAUAAGAAGAAGAAAGACGAGAGUAUUGAAUCCCUAACAUCUGGACGUGCGACAAAUAUGCCUUGAAUGUAUAACAAAAGUUGAUUGCAACUUUACAAAAGAAAAUUUACACGACUCUUCUCCUUACUCCAACUCCCUCCCAAUUAUUGCCUAUUUAUUAAGCAUACCAGAAGUACAAUGGAGUUUAAAGAAAGAGAUGUAAUAAGUUGUUGACAUUAGUUUUUGUAAUUAAUUAAAUGUAAUAUGUAACUGGUUUUUCUUCUCUUCCCGCCUUUUAGCCUUGUGUUCGUAUAAUCUUUAUUCGAGCAAUCACACAGGAACCCAAAGUCCUAACGUUUUUACCCUUGCUACAUAACCGAUUUAUUUCAACUUUUCUCGAUAAAAACAUAUGUUCUUGCGGGUGGGCCCAUUAUCCACCGAGUUUAGAAGAUUGUGAUUGAUCCAAAGGGCGGGUCACAGACGGAUUUCUAAGUUAAUAAAAAAAAAACAUAUGUUCUUGCGGGUGGGCCCAUUAUCCACCGAGUUUAGAAGAUUGUGAUUGAUCCAAAGGCGGGUCACAGACGGAUUUCUAAGUUAUAAAAAAAAAAAAAAAAACAUAUGUUCUUGCGGGUGGGCCCAUUAUCCACCGAGUUUAGAAGAUUGUGAUUGAUCCAAAGGGCGGGUCACAGACGGAUUUCUAAGUUAUAAAAAAAAAAAAAAAAAACAUAUGUUCUUGCUGUGAGAUAUAUAGUGGUUUGGGGGUAACCAGAGACUAUUGAUAGUACCUGGUCAUGUAUCACUCAACAACAACCAGGCAUUUAAUCUCAAGCACUCAAAAUUUUCAAUCAUGCUUGUAUUUGCAAUGCCAUCUCCUGCAGCAUGACCUGACAUCGCAGAGGAAUCCUAUGGUUGCUAGAAGCAACACUGCAAAAAUUGGAACCACCACAAUGAGGACAAGGAAAUUCAACAUGGAAAGGUAUAUUAAUAUUAAGUUAUUAACCAAGGCCUCACAAAUUGAACCAAUACCUUCAACCUAGUACGGCCUAAAAUGUUAACAAAGCCUUCAGCAGGGAAAAGAGCCUGGAUUUGUUAAUGUACUUUGGCCAUUCGUACGUCACACUCUAUUUACCAGAAACAUGGCCUGUUUGGCCAUAGAUUUUCCAAAUAAUAUUUGGGGAAAAAUUUGGCAAAUAAUGUUUGUCCAUACAAUUUGUCAUUAUUUGAC
rnacentral:lncRNA from 1 species